rnacentral:rRNA from 1 species
ACUUGUGGGUGGAUUAGUGGCGAACGGGUGAGUAACACGUGAGUAACCUGCCCUUAACUCUGGGAUAAGCCUGGGAAACUGGGUCUAAUACCGGAUAUGACUCCUCAUCGCAKGGUGGGGGGUGGAAAGCUUUAUKGUGGUUUUGGAUGGACUCGCGGCCUAUCAGCUUGUUGGKGAGGUAAKGGCUCACCAAGGCGACRACGGGUAGCCGGCCUGAGAGGGUGACCGGCCACACUGGGACKGARACACGGCCCAGACUCCUACGGGAGGCAGCAGUGGGGAAUAUUGCACAAKGGGCGAAAGCCUGAUGCAGCGACSCCGCGUGAGGGAUGACGGCCUUCGGGUUGUAAACCUCUUUCAGUAGGGAAGAAGCGAAAGUGACGGUACCUGCARAARAAGCGCCGGCUAACUACGUGCCAGCAGCCGCGGUAAUACGUAGGGCGCARGCGUUAUCCGGAAUUAUUGGGCGUAAAGAGCUCGUAGGCGGUUUGUCGCGUCUGCCGUGAAAGUCCGGGGCUCAACUCCGGAUCUGCGGUGGGUACGGGCAGACUAGAGUGAUGUAGGGGAGACUGGAAUUCCUGGUGUAGCGGUGAAAUGCGCAGAUAUCAGGAGGAACACCGAUGGCGAAGGCAGGUCUCUGGGCAUUAACUGACGCUGAGGAGCGAAAGCAUGGGGAGCGAACAGGAUUAGAUACCCUGGUAGUCCAUGCCGUAAACGUUGGGCACUAGGUGUGGGGGACAUUCCACGUUUUCCGCGCCGUAGCUAACGCAUUAAGUGCCCCGCCUGGGGAGUACGGCCGCAAGGCUAAAACUCAAAGGAAUUGACGGGGGCCCGCACAAGCGGCGGAGCAUGCGGAUUAAUUCGAUGCAACGCGAAGAACCUUACCAAGGCUUGACAUGAACCGGAAAUACCUGGAAACAGGUGCCCCGCUUGCGGUCGGUUUACAGGUGGUGCAUGGUUGUCGUCAGCUCGUGUCGUGAGAUGUUGGGUUAAGUCCCGCAACGAGCGCAACCCUCGUUCUAUGUUGCCAGCGCGUUAUGGCGGGGACUCAUAGGAGACUGCCGGGGUCAACUCGGAGGAAGGUGGGGACGACGUCAAAUCAUCAUGCCCCUUAUGUCUUGGGCUUCACGCAUGCUACAAUGGCCGGUACAAAGGGUUGCGAUACUGUGAGGUGGAGCUAAUCCCAAAAAGCCGGUCUCAGUUCGGAUUGGGGUCUGCAACUCGACCCCAUGAAGUCGGAGUCGCUAGUAAUCGCAGAUCAGCAACGCUGCGGUGAAUACGUUCCCGGGCCUUGUACACACCGCCCGUCAAGUCACGAAAGUUGGUAACACCCGAAGCCGGUGGCCUAACCCC